AGGCGUUGCCUGAAACUUUUCAAGCUUUUUUAAUAAAGGUAUAUGAUUUUCCUACAUUUCUGUUUUAAUUUUUGAUUCAAAAAAUUUGAAAUCAUACAGGAAUUACCAGUUCUGCCAAAAACCUCCUUAUUUCGAAAAU
ensembl:ncRNA H36N01.2 ncRNA